rnacentral:rRNA from 1 species
GUGCGGUAACGUAUUUAGCUGACUGAUACUAAUAGGUCGAGGGCUUGACCAAA